GAAAGCGUAAGAGAAACAAAAAAACGUAGACCUGCAACGAUCCCUAACUCUAGAGUCAAAGAAAAGCUUUAAUAAGAAGAAAACUUAAGAAAACUCUACCUAAAUUUAAAAAAAAAAAACAAAAAUCGAAAACGUUUGGUGUCUUAAGAUUUUCAAAAAUUGAAGCUUUAAUUAUACUUUAGUCAAGAAAAGAAAAAGGAAAAGAAAUUCAAUUUUGGGAAAAAUAAAAAUAAAAAUAAAAAUAAAAAUAAAAACAAUAAUAGGAAAAGAAGAAACCUAAGUAUGAAAGGUAGGCAACUUUUUUUUUUGCGCUUUUUGCUUCUUCUUUUUCUAUUUUUUUAGCUCCAAAAAUAACACCGAAUGGCCUGAAACUGAUACCAACUGAUGCGGAAA
rnacentral:lncRNA from 1 species